rnacentral:rRNA from 1 species
GACGAACGCUGGCGGCGUGCUUAACACAUGCAAGUCGAACGGUGAAGCGCCUUCCUUUUUGGUGGGUGUGGAUGAGUGGCGAACGGGUGAGUAACACGUGAGUAACCUGCCCCCUUCUUCUGGAUAACCGCAUGAAAGUGUGGCUAAUACGGGAUAUUCUGGGUCUGUCGCAUGAUGGGUCUGGGAAAGAUAUUGUUUCGGUGGGGGAUGGGCUCGCGGCCUAUCAGCUUGUUGGUGGGGUGAUGGCCUACCAAGGCGGUGACGGGUAGCCGGCCUGAGAGGGUGGACGGUCACGCUGGGACUGAGACACGGCCCCGACUCCUACGGGAGGCAGCAGUGGGGAAUAUUGCACAAUGGGCGCAAGCCUGAUGCAGCGCCGCCGCGUGAGGGAUGGAGGCCUUCGGGUUGUGAACCUCUUUCGCCAGUGAAGCAGGCCUGCCUCGUUUGUGGGUGGGUUGACGGUAGCUGGAUAAGAAGCGCCGGCUAACUACGUG